GUUCCCAUCGUCUAGCGGUUAGGACAUCGCCCUUUCAAGGCGGUAACACGGGUUCAAUUCCCGUUGGGAACA
rnacentral:tRNA from 1 species